CGAUUGCGCUACAAAUCGUAUAUUCAAAUUGGUCUAUUCGCGCUGUUGUUGAGUCGCUGCAGUGAACCACGCACUCACCGGAAGGAGACUAACGACGUACUUCGAUAACUAAGAUUGGUCUACAAGUAACUGGCGACGUUGUACGCUAAGUUUCAUCUCGGUACGCCGUCCGUGGGCUGAGCCAUCUGACCAAUACCCUAGGCUCAAUACGCGCCAUCUUGGUGAAACGCCUGAAGGAAAACGCAUGAAAAACUCGUUCGAAGUUGUUUAUCACCAGAAGAACGAUUCGUUGAGAGCAGAAUUCGAAGCAAGCCGUUUGUGGGAGCGCCGCGCGUUCACCAGAGUCGAUCAUGUUCGGCAAGAAACGUUGUGUGAACCUGAUUUCGAGAAGCGAAAACAACAGAAAGCGGUAGUGAAGUGAAUCUCAAGGCGUUUGAAGUCAGCAAUAGGAGUGAAACAGCUCGGCUGUGGCAGCGAGAUUUUUGAUCACGUGAUCUGACACAGAAUGGCUAGGUCUGUUGUAACAACUUCCAAUCGAAUAGUGAUUUAUCUAGAGGUUAUUUUAUGAGAUGUGUAACUCUUCAGCGAACGAAAACCUCCGACCUCGUUGUGUGAUAUUGUAAUGCGUUGCAAUCUAGUUGUUGUCACGGAGUUACUACGGUGUGGUUGCCUAGGUGUGGCUUUGUGUUCGAAAGUAUGCAUCCACUUUCAAGCAGCUUUACAUCGUGUUACUACAACAACAGUCGUAAGAAACGUUAAAUUUAUUUAUAAUGUAGAAAUCAGAAAAUCGAGGUUUGCACCG